rnacentral:rRNA from 1 species
CAGAAGUGCGAAUGCUGACAUAAGUAACGAUAAAGCGGGUGAAAAGCCCGCUCGCCGGAAGACCAAGGGUUCCUGUCCAACGUUAAUCGGGGCAGGGUGAGUCGACCCCUAAGGCGAGGCCGAAAGGCGUAGUCGAUGGGAAACAGGUUAAUAUUCCUGUACUUGGUGUUACUGCGAAGGGGGGACGGAGAAGGCUAUGUUGGCCGGGCGACGGUUGUCCCGGUUUAAGCGUGUAGGCUGGUUUUCCAGGCAAAUCCGGAAAAUCAAGGCUGAGGCGUGAUGACGAGGCACUACGGUGCUGAAGCAACAAAUGCCCUGCUUCCAGGAAAAGCCUCUAAGCAUCAGGUAACAUCAAAUCGUACCCCAAACCGACACAGGUGGUCAGGUAGAGAAUACCAAGGCGCUUGAGAGAACUCGGGUGAAGGAACUAGGCAAAAUGGUGCCGUAACUUCGGGAGAAGGCACGCUGAUAUGUAGGUGAAGUCCCUCGCGGAUGGAGCUGAAAUCAGUCGAAGAUACCAGCUGGCUGCAACUGUUUAUUAAAAACACAGCACUGUGCAAACACGAAAGUGGACGUAUACGGUGUGACGCCUGCCCGGUGCCGGAAGGUUAAUUGAUGGGGUUAGCGCAAGCGAAGCUCUUGAUCGAAGCCCCGGUAAACGGCGGCCGUAACUAUAACGGUCCUAAGGUAGCGAAAUUCCUUGUCGGGUAAGUUCCGACCUGCACGAAUGGCGUAAUGAUGGCCAGGCUGUCUCCACCCGAGACUCAGUGAAAUUGAACUCGCUGUGAAGAUGCAGUGUACCCGCGGCAAGACGGAAAGACCCCGUGAACCUUUACUAUAGCUUGACACUGAACAUUGAGCCUUGAUGUGUAGGAUAGGUGGGAGGCUUUGAAGUGUGGACGCCAGUCUGCAUGGAGCCGACCUUGAAAUACCACCCUUUAAUGUUUGAUGUUCUAACGUUGACCCGUAAUCCGGGUUGCGGACAGUGUCUGGUGGGUAGUUUGACUGGGGCGGUCUCCUCCUAAAGAGUAACGGAGGAGCACGAAGGUUGGCUAAUCCUGGUCGGACAUCAGGAGGUUAGUGCAAUGGCAUAAGCCAGCUUGACUGCGAGCGUGACGGCGCGAGCAGGUGCGAAAGCAGGUCAUAGUGAUCCGGUGGUUCUGAAUGGAAGGGCCAUCGCUCAACGGAUAAAAGGUACUCCGGGGAUAACAGGCUGAUACCGCCCAAGAGUUCAUAUCGACGGCGGUGUUUGGCACCUCGAUGUCGGCUCAUCACAUCCUGGGGCUGAAGUAGGUCCCAAGGGUAUGGCUGUUCGCCAUUUAAAGUGGUACGCGAGCUGGGUUUAGAACGUCGUGAGACAGUUCGGUCCCUAUCUGCCGUGGGCGCUGGAGAACUGAGGGGGGCUGCUCCUAGUACGAGAGGACCGGAGUGGACGCAUCACUGGUGUUCGGGUUGUCAUGCCAAUGGCACUGCCCGGUAGCUAAAUGCGGAAGAGAUAAGUGCUGAAAGCAUCUAAGCACGAAACUUGCCUCGAGAUGAGUUCUCCCUGACCCUUUAAGGGUCCUGAAGGAACGUUGAAGACGACGACGUUGAUAGGCCGGGUGUGUAAGCGCAGCGAUGCGUUGAGCUAACCGGUACUAAUGAACCGUGAGGCUUAACCUU